rnacentral:rRNA from 1 species
GAUUAACGCUAGCGGCAGGCAUAAUACAUGCAAGUUGAACGGGAUUAGUUUAGCAAUAGACUAUGAGAGUGGCGCACGGGUGCGUAACACGUACGCAACCUGCCCCUGACAGGAGGAUAGCCUCUCGAAAGAGAGAUUAAUAUUCCAUAACAUAUAGGGUAAGCAUUUACUUUAUAUCAAAGCUCCGGCGGUCAGGGAUGGGCAUGCGGUUGAUUAGCUAGUUGGUGAGGUAACGGCUCACCAAGGCGACGAUCAAUAGGGGGUCUGAGAGGAUGUCCCCCCACACUGGUACUGAGACACGGACCAGACUCCUACGGGAGGCAGCAGUAGGGAAUAUUGCACAAUGGGCGAAAGCCUGAUGCAGCAACGCCGCGUGAGUAAUGACGGCUUUCGGGUUGUAAGGCUCUGUCUUUUGGGACGAUAAUGACGGUACCAAAGGAGGAAGCCACGGCUAACUACGUGCCAGCAGCCGCCGAAACAC